GUUAAAAGUCAAAAAAUGACCUGUUAAACGUGUGAGCAUGAAAUCCAUCAUUAUGGUAACGGCGACAGGAACACUUUAUUGAAGGCGCAGGGCUAGUGUCCUUCACAAGCAUCGAUUCCUGCAAUCCUCAUAAUCACCUACAGAUCGUCGCUGUUCCAUUUAUAGAUGAAGACGCUCGGGCUUGGAGAGUCCCAGAGUCACUCAGGGAGUGAGUGUCAGGAGGAUGGAGGUUCCAAAGUCAGACUCUGCAGACCGCCCCCCUCCACCGCCCCCCCUAGAGAUGGCUCCAACCCAUGUGCAGAAUGGUCCCAGACUCCCUGCCACCCACAUGCUUAAUGAGUGGCCUUACUCAGCUCACUUAACUGUGUGUGGCUUCUGUAAAGGAGGCCUAGCAACAUCCACCUCACAGAACGGCCAUGAAGUUAGACAACAAGUGUUUGUCACAUACAUAAGGGCGAUUCUGGGCACGAGACAGCUGUGACAGAGUUUAUCCUUGCCCUUCUGGCCUGACCUCUCGCUUGCUUGGAUUCUGGUCCCCUGAGCCGAUCUGCUAAAGCUCCUCUUCGCUGCUGGGCGUGGGGAGAGAAUGGAGAUGAAGACGCACAGGCCCAAGCUGCUGGGUGCGCACUUUCCAGUAGGUGCCUUCCAGGCACCCGACGGUUGUCACCAAGUGCAGAGGCCACUGCCUCCCGUCUGGUCGUGUCUGAGCUACAGCUUCAUCAAAUACGUUUUUGAGGCCGGAAGAAAAUGUACAAAUAUGAACUGACUACUCGGUCCAGAUAGUUCGGACACAGGCAUGUUUGCUGUCCGCGAAAACCUCCAAGGUUGCAGGGGCAGAGCUCAGUGCUUCAUCUGUUGCGUAUGAACCCGGGGCUCAUCCCAUCACCUUCCCUCCUUCAUGCCCAUUGCCCAGUCACCCCGUCUGCUCACCCACCUCUCCUCCAGCAACCGAGAGGUCGUAUCGUUGAGCUGGGUCUG